rnacentral:rRNA from 1 species
GACGAACGCUGGCGGAAUGCUUAAUACAUGCAAGUCGAACGAUGAGGUCUUUUCGGAGAUACAUCGGUGGCGGACGGGUGAGUAACGCGUUGAUAACAUGCCUUAGAGUGGGGGAUAACAUCUGGAAACGGGUGCUAAUACCGCAUAUGUGCUGUCUUGUGAUAGAUAGUAUGAAAGAUUUAUUGCUCUAAGAUUGGUCUGCGUAAGAUUAGUUAGUUGGUGAGGUAAUGGCUCCCCAAGACGAUGAUCUUUAGUUGGUCUGAGAGGAUGGCCAGCCACAGUGGGACUGAGACACGGCCCAC